rnacentral:rRNA from 1 species
AACGAACGCUGGCGGCAUGCCUAACACAUGCAAGUCGAGCGCCCGUAGCAAUACGGGAGCGGCGCACGGGUGAGUAACGCGUGGGAACCUGCCCAGAGGUUCGGGACAACCGCGGGAAACUGCGGCUGAUACCGGAUGAUACCUGAGGGUCAAAGAUUUAUCGCCUUUGGAGGGGCCCGCGUCGGAUUAGGUAGUUGGUGGGGUAACGGCCUACCAAGCCUAUGAUCCGUAACUGGUCUGAGAGGAUGACCAGUCACACUGGGACUGAGACACGGCCCAGACUCCUACGGGAGGCAGCAGUGGGGAGUAUUGGACAAUGGGGGCAACCCUGAUCCAGCAAUGCCGCGUGGGUGAUGAAGGCCUUCGGGUUGUAAAGCCCUUUCGGCGGGGACGAUGAUGACGGUACCCGCAGAAGAAGCCCCGGCUAACUUCGUGCCAGCAGCCGCGGUAA